ACUUGCUUCGUGGUGCAGGCCCCAGGUAAAUAUGUGAUCAGGUAAACAUAUGAUCAGGUAAACAGGUAAACAUGUGAUCAGGUAAACAGGUAAACAUGUGAUCAGGUAAACAGGUAAACAUGUGAUCGGGUAAACAUGUGAUCGGGUAAACAGGUAAACAUGUGAUCAGGUAAACAGGUAAACAUGUGAUCGGGUAAACAUGUGAUCAGGUAAACAGGUAAACAUGUGAUCGGGUAAACAUGUGAUCAGGUAAACAUGUGAUCAGGUAAACAGGUAAACAUGUGAUCGGGUAAACAUGUGAUCAGGUAAACAGGUAAACAUGUGAUCAGGUAAACAGGUAAACAUGUGAUCGGGUAAACAUGUGAUCGGGUAAACAUGUGAUCGGGUAAACAUGUGAUCGGGUAAACAUGUGAUCGGGUAAACAUGUGAUCAGGUAAACAGGUAAACAUGUGAUCAGGUAAA